rnacentral:rRNA from 1 species
GAUGAACGCUAGCUACAGGCUUAACACAUGCAAGUCGAGGGACCGGCGCACGGGUGAGUAACGCGUAUCCAACCUGCACAUAAGUAGGGUAUAACCCGCAGAAAUGCGGACUAAUCACCUAUGCUUAUGGAUGGGGAUGCGUCCGAUUAGCUUGUUGGUGAGUUAACGGCCCACAAAGGCUUCGAUCGGUAGGGGUUCUGCUAGGAAGGCCCCCCACAUGUGACCUGGGACACGGUCCUAACUCCUACGGGAGGCAGCAGUGAGGAAUAUUGGUCAAUGGGAGAGAGCCUGAACCAGCCAAGUAGCGUGCAGGAGGACGGCCUUUGGGUUGUAAACUGCUUUUAUGCGGGGAUAGGUACCGCAUGAAUAAGGACCGGCUAAUUCCGUGCCAGCAGCCGCGGUAAUAC